rnacentral:hammerhead_ribozyme from 1 species
GUCCAGCUGACGAGUCUUGAAUAGGACAAAACGCAAGUCCUGGAU